rnacentral:rRNA from 1 species
CCUACGGGAGGCAGCAGUGGGGAAUUUUGCGCAAUGGGGGAAACCCUGACGCAGCGACGCCGCGUGAGCGAAGAAGGCCUUCGGGUUGUAAAGCUCUGUCGAGUGGGAAGAGUAAGGACGGUACCACUGGAGGAAGCACCGGCUAACUCCGUGCCAGCAGCCGCGGUAAUACGGAGGGUGCAAACGUUGUUCGGAAUUACUGGGCGUAAAGGGCGCGUAGGCGGGCCAACAAGUUCAUUGUGAAAUAUCACGGCUUAACCGUGGGAGGUCAAUGAAGACUGUGGGUCUAGAGUACUGGAGAGGGUCAUGGAAUUCCGCAAGUAGCAGUGGAAUGCGUAGAUAUGCGGAGGAACAUCGGAGGCGAAGGCGAUGACCUGGCCAGAAACUGACGCUGAGGCGCGAAAGCGUGGGGAGCAAACAGGAUUAGAUACCCUGGUAGUCCACGCUGUAAACGAUGGAUACUAGACGUUGGGAGAGAGAAUUUUUUCAGUGUCGAAGCACACGCGAUAAGUAUCCCGCCUGGGGAAUACGGUCGCAAGACUAAAACUCAAAGGAAUUGACGG